rnacentral:tmRNA from 1 species
GGGCUUGACUGGAUUUGACAGCGGGUAGAAAUGGUAUGUAAGCAUGCAGUGCGUCGGUAAUUUGCACUUAAAUAUCAGUUAUCAAAAUUUUAUCUGGCGAAAAUAAUUACGCUCUUGCUGCUUAAUCGAAUCAUAGUAGAUUAACUUUAUCUCUGCAUUAGAUGCGGAGACGAGAUAUCACCCGGAAGCUGUUGUUCCGAAGCAAUCCGAACCGGUGGUACAGUAAUAUCGGAAAUAGUUAGGGUUCCGCCUCGUGACUCUCGCGAAACUUUAGAGGAUAAGGUAGAGAUUGAUGGCUUUGGUUCUGUCUCUAUUCGAAAACUUAGGCAAAGAUAAGCAUGUAGAAAGCGUAUGGUUUCCUCGUUUGGACGAGGGUUCGAAUCCCUCCAGGUCCAC